GGGUUGUGAGGUUAAGCGACUAAGCGUACACGGUGGAUGCCCUGGCAGUCAGAGGCGAUGAAGGACGUGCUAAUCUGCGAUAAGCGUCGGUAAGGUGAUAUGAACCGUUAUAACCGGCGAUUUCCGAAUGGGGAAACCCAGUGUGUUUCGACACACUAUCAUUAACUGAAUCCAUAGGUUAAUGAGGCGAACCGGGGGAACUGAAACAUCUAAGUACCCCGAGGAAAAGAAAUCAACCGAGAUUCCCCCAGUAGCGGCGAGCGAACGGGGAGCAGCCCAGAGUCUGAAUCAGUGUGUGUGUUAGUGGAAGCGUCUGGAAAGGCGCGCGAUACAGGGUGACAGCCCCGUACACAAAAAUGCACAUACUGUGAGCUCGAUGAGUAGGGCGGGACACGUGGUAUCCUGUCUGAAUAUGGGGGGACCAUCCUCCAAGGCUAAAUACUCCUGACUGACCGAUAGUGAACCAGUACCGUGAGGGAAAGGCGAAAAGAACCCCGGCGAGGGGAGUGAAAAAGAACCUGAAACCGUGUACGUACAAGCAGUGGGAGCACGCUUAGGCGUGUGACUGCGUACCUUUUGUAUAAUGGGUCAGCGACUUAUAUUCUGUAGCAAGGUUAACCGAAUAGGGGAGCCGAAGGGAAACCGAGUCUUAACUGGGCGUUAAGUUGCAGGGUAUAGACCCGAAACCCGGUGAUCUAGCCAUGGGCAGGUUGAAGGUUGGGUAACACUAACUGGAGGACCGAACCGACUAAUGUUGAAAAAUUAGCGGAUGACUUGUGGCUGGGGGUGAAAGGCCAAUCAAACCGGGAGAUAGCUGGUUCUCCCCGAAAGCUAUUUAGGUAGCGCCUCGUGAAUUCAUCUCCGGGGGUAGAGCACUGUUUCGGCAAGGGGGUCAUCCCGACUUACCAACCCGAUGCAAACUGCGAAUACCGGAGAAUGUUAUCACGGGAGACACACGGCGGGUGCUAACGUCCGUCGUGAAGAGGGAAACAACCCAGACCGCCAGCUAAGGUCCCAAAGUCAUGGUUAAGUGGGAAACGAUGUGGGAAGGCCCAGACAGCCAGGAUGUUGGCUUAGAAGCAGCCAUCAUUUAAAGAAAGCGUAAUAGCUCACUGGUCGAGUCGGCCUGCGCGGAAGAUGUAACGGGGCUAAACCAUGCACCGAAGCUGCGGCAGCGACGCUUAUGCGUUGUUGGGUAGGGGAGCGUUCUGUAAGCCUGUGAAGGUGUGCUGUGAGGCAUGCUGGAGGUAUCAGAAGUGCGAAUGCUGACAUAAGUAACGAUAAAGCGGGUGAAAAGCCCGCUCGCCGGAAGACCAAGGGUUCCUGUCCAACGUUAAUCGGGGCAGGGUGAGUCGACCCCUAAGGCGAGGCCGAAAGGCGUAGUCGAUGGGAAACAGGUUAAUAUUCCUGUACUUGGUGUUACUGCGAAGGGGGGACGGAGAAGGCUAUGUUGGCCGGGCGACGGUUGUCCCGGUUUAAGCGUGUAGGCUGGUUUUCCAGGCAAAUCCGGAAAAUCAAGGCUGAGGCGUGAUGACGAGGCACUACGGUGCUGAAGCAACAAAUGCCCUGCUUCCAGGAAAAGCCUCUAAGCAUCAGGUAACAUCAAAUCGUACCCCAAACCGACACAGGUGGUCAGGUAGAGAAUACCAAGGCGCUUGAGAGAACUCGGGUGAAGGAACUAGGCAAAAUGGUGCCGUAACUUCGGGAGAAGGCACGCUGAUAUGUAGGUGAAGCGACUUGCUCGUGGAGCUGAAAUCAGUCGAAGAUACCAGCUGGCUGCAACUGUUUAUUAAAAACACAGCACUGUGCAAACACGAAAGUGGACGUAUACGGUGUGACGCCUGCCCGGUGCCGGAAGGUUAAUUGAUGGGGUCAGCGCAAGCGAAGCUCUUGAUCGAAGCCCCGGUAAACGGCGGCCGUAACUAUAACGGUCCUAAGGUAGCGAAAUUCCUUGUCGGGUAAGUUCCGACCUGCACGAAUGGCGUAAUGAUGGCCAGGCUGUCUCCACCCGAGACUCAGUGAAAUUGAACUCGCUGUGAAGAUGCAGUGUACCCGCGGCAAGACGGAAAGACCCCGUGAACCUUUACUAUAGCUUGACACUGAACAUUGAGCCUUGAUGUGUAGGAUAGGUGGGAGGCUUUGAAGUGUGGACGCCAGUCUGCAUGGAGCCGGCCUUGAAAUACCACCCUUUAAUGUUUGAUGUUCUAACGUGGACCCGUAAUCCGGGUUGCGGACAGUGUCUGGUGGGUAGUUUGACUGGGGCGGUCUCCUCCUAAAGAGUAACGGAGGAGCACGAAGGUUGGCUAAUCCUGGUCGGACAUCAGGAGGUUAGUGCAAUGGCAUAAGCCAGCUUGACUGCGAGCGUGACGGCGCGAGCAGGUGCGAAAGCAGGUCAUAGUGAUCCGGUGGUUCUGAAUGGAAGGGCCAUCGCUCAACGGAUAAAAGGUACUCCGGGGAUAACAGGCUGAUACCGCCCAAGAGUUCAUAUCGACGGCGGUGUUUGGCACCUCGAUGUCGGCUCAUCACAUCCUGGGGCUGAAGUAGGUCCCAAGGGUAUGGCUGUUCGCCAUUUAAAGUGGUACGCGAGCUGGGUUUAGAACGUCGUGAGACAGUUCGGUCCCUAUCUGCCGUGGGCGCUGGAGAACUGAGGGGGGCUGCUCCUAGUACGAGAGGACCGGAGUGGACGCAUCACUGGUGUUCGGGUUGUCAUGCCAAUGGCACUGCCCGGUAGCUAAAUGCGGAAGAGAUAAGUGCUGAAAGCAUCUAAGCACGAAACUUGCCCCGAGAUGAGUUCUCCCUGACUCCUUGAGAGUCCUGAAGGAACGUUGAAGACGACGACGUUGAUAGGCCGGGUGUGUAAGCGCAGCGAUGCGUUGAGCUAACCGGUACUAAUGAACCGUGAGGCUUAACCUUACAACGCCGAAG
rnacentral:rRNA from 1 species